rnacentral:lncRNA from 12 species
AUAUAAUCAUGAUCUGAGACUCAAGCCUGCGUGGCUUCCUGUCUCCCACCUCCACAAUUCAUGACGCUCAGAGAGUCAUGGAGUCUUAGAAUCGGAAGGGACCUUAAAAGUAAUGCAACUCACGCCUUUCCCCAUGAAUUCAUCUCCUCUGCAGCAGGGGCCUCCAUGUGAUCACAUCCAGUGGCAGGGAACAAACUCUUCCUCCUGCGUCAGGCUAUUUUAUUUGCAAGCAGCUCUUUUGGUGGAAAGUGUUUUUUGUUUUUUUUUUUUUUAAUAUUGAACUGCAAUCUGCCUCCUUAUAUCUGCAUCCCUGGCUCCGGCCCUACCCCCGAUGCAUGAAGAAUAUAUCUGUCCCUCUUCUAUAGUUAAAAGCAACCUGUGGGUGCAGGCAUUUGUCUCUUCAUGCAAGGACCCCUGGCAUUUCUAGGUUGGGCACCUCAUGGGUAGUUAAUUUUUAUUAAGCCAAUUAUUUCACAGCUUCCUACUUCCUUACUAAUUCACACAGAGAUGUAAAUUAGCAAACAUUUCUUGUCAUGGAAAAGCAAUAUAAUAUCUUUUACCUCUUAAAUGCUUUUUGUGUAUAAGAGCUGAGGUCUUUUUUGGGGGGGGCUGAGAUGCAUGUUCACGGAGGGAGCUGAAAUGACAAGUGAGUCAUUCCCCUUUGACAGGGACCCUGGGAUGGAGAGUAGACGUGGAAUGGAAAAUCAACAUUGCCCAAGUGGAGGCAGUUGUGAUUCUGUUUCUGCCUCCUGGGGACUCAGCAAGCAGGCAAGCCUGAGCUCCUUCUUUAGACCUGAGGAAUUUACUCUGAAGCUCUGAUCCACAUCCUUGGAAGGACGUGUCCAAACAGUCAUCUGAAACCUCAGCGUCUCCAGCGACUAGGAGAUCCAGGCGGUUUGCUCACGUGGCCUCAACCCUUCCAACUCCUUGCAACUCGGUCAGGGCCACUGGUGCUGCUGUAAGGGAAUCGUGAGAACCCGAGCUGCAUGCAAAAAAGGGAAGGCUAGCACACUAACGGGGGCUAGGGAGAAGGGCGAGCAAGGAGCCGCACCUAUGGUGGAGGGAACUUUGCCCACAAGUCCCGGUGGCAUCACGGAAUGAUCACUUGGCACUUUGAAGAAAACCUUAAAGGAGACAGAAGUGACCCUAGGAGUGCAGCUCGUGUGCAAGGUUAGCCACCUGCCUGGCGCAGAGCACAGGACCAGGUCCCGGGGCAAGCGGAUCCCGAGAGAGACUACUACACCUACCCCAUUCCCAGGAGAAGUUUCUGGAAGCCAGGGAGCAAAAACACACGCAGAACGACACUGUUGGCCUGACAGUGAAACUCAUGGCUUCUUCACCCGCAGCCCCCCACGUCCCCCCCCCAACCAUCCCCCUGAGUGGGGUUCCCCUGGAGCUGGGAGGCCCCCAGAGCAGCCACUGUGCCCCGGCAAUUAAACAAGAAUGCUCCGAGCUGACAAUUCCACUGUGAAAGUUUUCAAAUAGUGUUUGGAAUGUUUACAUAAUUGUUCAAAAGAGGCUUUUUCAAUGUACCUGUUUACACUCUUUACUUUUGGAAAUUCUUUCAGCAAUCAGGCCUUGGAGGGCUCUCAGCCUGUACUUGCCGCCCCUGAUUGCGACGGAGCAAUGAAAGGCCUGUCAGAGAGUCGCUGGGAAAACGUCCCCUAACAAACGCCCUCUAAUGAGGGGGUGCUGGGAGCAGAGGGGACGCGCGGGGGGGCCCGGGAGCCGUAAGGUCAUGGUUUUGUUGUGGGGCUUGUUGGCAAAGGGAGCUUCAGACACCCUGCCUUUGUGUGCAAAUUUCCCACCAGGGCCAAGCGACUUUCCACAA